UAUUUUUUUAAAUUAGGGUCUUAAUCCUGUUUUUGACAGCACAAACUUCUUCCUUGCAGGGGACUGCUUCUUGCAGAUACAAAAGAGACGGAAUCUGCCCCAGGCAGCCCAUGAAAUAGUUGCCGUGGAGAAACUAAUUGAGCCGUUGAGUUUACUGUCAAAAAGUUCCACCGAGGGGCUGCACGAUGACCAGGACAGUAGAGUGCGUUACAAGCUGCACAUUGAAGGCCAGCCUCACUUGUUGCAACUGAUGAAGACACGAGACCUACUGGCUGAGACCUACAGUGAAUCGCACUACUUAGCCAAUGGAUCCAUCGUAACAAAGACUCGUCACCACCUAGUAAGUGUGGAAACGUCACAUCAACA